UACAGGGGGGGCAAGCGUUGUUCGGAAUUACUGGGCGUAAAGGGUUCGUAGGCGGCCGGCUAAGUCCGACGUGAAAUCCCCAGGCUUAACCUGGGAACUGCGUCGGAUACUGGCGGGCUUGAAUCCGGGAGAGGGAUGCGGAAUUCCAGGUGUAGCGGUGAAAUGCGUAGAUAUCUGGAGGAACACCGGUGGCGAAGGCGGCAUCCUGGACCGGCAUUGACGCUGAAUAGCGAAAGCCAGGGGAGCAAACGGG
rnacentral:rRNA from 1 species